rnacentral:lncRNA from 1 species
GAGUGACAGGGUACAGGGCGGAUUGGGCUUAAUCCUCAGCAGCAGGCAGGAAGGGCACGUUCCUUAAGAAGCUUAUCAGGGGCCCAAGCGAGUGGGCGGCAGUAGGUCUGCCUCUGCAGCUGCGUCUUUUUUAUCUAUUCCUUUCCUUAAAAAAUAAAAAACAAAAAAACGGAUGGGAAAGGGUUUCUUUUACUUCAUGGAACGAUGUUUCCACUGAGAUGAGAAAUUGAAAGAGGAGGCUGAGCCCGGAGGCCGGUCGGGAGAGGCGCCUGCAGUCUGUGCAGUAACUCCAGCCUCAAUGGUCCCCCUCUGGGGCCGGAAAAUGGCUCUCAGUGAUCCCUGCUCCAAACCCUUGUAUAAUGUGGGAAGCCACAGCGGUGUCUCGGGAGGGAGGCCUUUCUGAUAAAGCUGGUGGCCAAGGACGAGGCUGCUGAGGAGAAACCGCCUGGUCACUUCCCAGGUGUAGCCCGGGACUCUGCAGGUGCGCACAGCCGGUCACGGAAGUGGACCCUGUGUGGGCUCACGGGGGACUGGCUGUUUCUUUUGGACACCGUAGGAUGUGGAAGAACUGUGGAUGGCCGUGGAGGUGACGAGGGACUUGGGGCACUUGAAGCCCCUGUGUGCCAGGGGACUGAAUCAACCGACUCAGCAGGAGAUGGCGGAAAGAAGGCCGAAUCAGCUGAGGGGCAGCACAGACCCGAGAAAGGCCAAAGGGGAGGACUAUUUGCUGGACAGAGAGGCCUCGGGGAGACCAUCCAGGCCCUGGAGUUGCUGAUGGGAGGAAGCCAUAGGCAGGUGACUGGAGCCCUUCAGAUGGACUCUGGAUUCUUCACAUGGGUUUUCCUGAUUCACCUCCAGAGCUGCCAAGCAGGGAUGAAGCAGGACUGGAGAUACGAGCAAGGACACCUCUCCAGCGCCCAUCUCCUCUACUUCUGGGCUGCUGCGUUUGGACCGUGGGCUGUCUGA